rnacentral:tRNA from 1 species
GCCCCCGUGGUGGAACGGCAGACACGCAGCCCUCAAACGGCUGUGCCCGCGGGCGUCCGAGGUCGAGACUCGGCGGGGGCACCA